UUAUUAUUAUUAUUAUUAUUAUCAUAUUAUUAUUAUCAUUAUUAUUAUUAUUAUUAUUAUUAUUAUUAUUAUUAUUAUUAUUAUUAUUCAUUUUAUAUUAUAACACGCCGUCUCCUAUAGGGUCCGCGAGAGGUCGCGCAUAUAUAUACUCGCACGUGCGCGCAUCGCGUUCCGUGACAUAAAUAUUAUAUUAUUAUAUUUUUAAACGUCAGCUCCAAAGACGGUUUCUAUACUAUUUUAUCUAUUAUUAUUAUUAUUAUUAUUAUUAUUAAUAUUAUUAAUACUAUAUACACACAAAACAUAAACAGACACGCAGAAACACGUACACACACCGAACCGGGGUCGGCUUCCAAGCGCAUAACUUAAAAAUAUCUUAAAACUGAGUACUAAAUGAGCAAUAUAUAAUGUAAUAAAAAAACCUGUAGACACCCGUGUUUAAAAACGCAGAAAGGAAUAAUGACUAUGACAAUAACGCAAUAGCAUUUAGAGGCAAAUAAUUCGGCUAAAACCGAAAAAAUCCUAUUCUUGAAUUGUUUAAAUAUCUUAGGCGCUGAAUAAGUAGCAUGAGACCUAACCUAACCCCUAACCCGUUCCUUUCUGUUUCACGAAUAGCCAAAGUGUAAAAUGUGUUCACGUCCCACUGUCCCCGUGAAAAAUGGCCCCCCUCGAAUCGUUUUUGGUCUGUUUAGACUUAUGUUAAGGGUCUUUAGUUAACACUAAAUAACAUAUUCAAGCUUAAGCAGCACUAAAGUAAUUAUUAAAAUCUACGUAAGAUACUUAACGGAUAUUUCUAGACACCAUACACUGAUCUUUCGAUAAUUUCAGAGACGAUCGCCUCUUAAAUAACCCGUUCGCCACGCCACCCGGUUGUGCAUUUCAGGCUACCGGAAACGACUAUAGUGCGUCAGAAAACUCCAGUAAAAAGCCCCGAUAAACUGACUGCACAUUGCCUUGAUAUUUUCCAGACCGGUUCUGACACACACACGCACACACACAAAUAUUAAAAAAGUUCAUAUUAUAUUGGAAUAUUCCCCCGUCUGUAUCGUAUUAUAAUAUUUAUAUAUUAAUAUUACAUUAUAAAAAUAUUGUAUUUCGAAAAAUAAUAUGUCUAACGAAUAAAAAUACCAACGGAAUGUUAUUCAUGUUGAACGUGUUUGCGUAUAAUGUUAAUACGACCCCUGUGACGUUUGUGUCGUUGAAGGAACAACGUGAAAAUAUGUUUUUGCGAAAUCGGUAUACAAAAUACGC